AAAUUCUAAUAAGAAUUAUUUGGCAUAUAAUAAUUUUAUUGGUGUGCAGACUGUUGUGGUGGAUUGGGGAUGAGAUAAUCAGGGAUAAUAAGAGAUUAGAUUAUCAGGGAUAAUAAUAAAUUGAUCAUUUCAAAAACCCAGCUGGUGUUUCAGGAAACACACUGGCAGCUUCACUCUUGCCUGAUGGAGUGAAAGGUUAUUCGAAACUGAGGAAAAAGCUGAAGUCAUGUUGGAUGAACGAGGUCAUAUUUUCUUACAGACACCUUAAAGUUAACUGGGUUACUGGGCUAUGGGUGCUAUAUGCUAUGGUUGGUGCUACAAAGAUGGGUAUCUCAGAAAGACAAGUUGUCGGUUAAUGAGCUUCUUUGGGAGUCAGAAGGCUUGAUCUGUUUCUUUACAAGCCUAGAAACUAUUGAAGUUGGGGAACUUGUCUUGGGGUGCUCGAGAAGGACAACUGCCAAUUGUUGCACAAGGAUCAAUCUCCAGAAACUGGAGCACAAUUGGAAUCUCGGACAUUGACUGGAGCACGUACAAUAGAUUCAGUUGGACAUAUCCAGGUUUUAGGUUUCAGUCCAAUAAACCACAAGAUUUGAGAGCUCUGCUACAUUCUUGGCCGACACUGAUAGCAGUGUCGGUGGCUGCUUUUCGUAGGCCGAACAAUGUUCCCACCACCCUAUCGACAGACACCUGAACGAGAUGAUUGGAUCUGUAUUUUGGUUCUGGCUGCACGAAGGAGAGUCGAUAUAACUCUGAAGCAUGCAUUUCCAAGUGCCUACAGAAUUGCAGGGAGUAAAAAAAUGUAAGGUGGAGGAAGUAAUCCUAAAUGGCAGAUGGAACAUACAUCAUUUAGAAGCAACAGUUGCUUCAAGCAACCCAGCAACUGCGGAACUUCAACAUAAGGUGUUUGAUGGCUACUGGCUGACUGUUUAGUGUGCUGCGCAGGAUCUCUUUAACGGUUGAAAUGCCUCUUUACUCGUCUUUCUUUAGUUAUUAUUCUCGUGUAACUUUUGGGUGAAGCGGAGGAUUCGCAGACAUAUUUAUUUUUACACUCUCUCUCACAAUUUCGAGGUAACUUUUUUCCCGGCCCAAACGAAUGAAUUUCAAACUAAUUUUGUAAUGAUAUGUUUAUU